GACGUAGGGUGCGAGCGUUGUCCGGAUUUAUUGGGCGUAAAGAGCUCGUAGGCGGUUUGUUGCGUCUAUCGUGAAAACCUGCAGCUUAACUGUGGGCUUGCGGUGGAUACGGGCAGACUUGAGUUCGGUAGGGGAGACUGGAAUUCCUGGUGUAGCGGUGAAAUGCGCAGAUAUCAGGAGGAACACCGGUGGCGAAGGCGGGUCUCUGGGCCGAUACUGACGCUGAGGAGCGAAAGCCAGGGGAGCAAACGGG
rnacentral:rRNA from 1 species